AUGCAGGACUAUUCAUCAUACGGGAAGGAACUGGUGGAGGUGUUGUCGGUACGUUAUAAAGGUCAGGGAGAUCCAAGCUGCACCAUCAUCGUCUACGAUGGUAAGCGCGGGCAGAUCAUCUACACACAAAGUGGCCAGGGCGACAUGAGAGUAUCUCACGAACAUUCAAAUUCUGGCACUCAGAAUGGAAGCAAUGAUCGCCGGCUUCUGCUGACGGGUCCUUAUCGAGUGAUCUCAAUGGAUGGGUGCGUUCUCAUCGAGUACAAUAUCGAUGAUCACUGCCAUGCUAAGAUACUUCUAGACAUUGAUGAUCCAUCCACAAAACAUGAUGAGGCCGUCACAGCCGAACUGGGUUGUACGUGUGAUAACCACCCCAAAGCAGUGGUCACGUACGCUCUUCUGAGCAACGCGGUAGAAGCCAUUGUUGAGGUGAAGCUCCACCAACGACGAGAUAAUACUUUCUAUGGGACGAUCAUUGCUUACAGUUAUCUAGGUGACGUCGUGCUCUUUGAAACAGACAAUGAGAAGACACUCAUUGGGUCGUCACAAGAGCCGACGAUUAUCCCAUUAGCUAGAUCGGUUCUUGCCGUGCCAUUGGAUUCGUCCCUACAGAUUGAAGUGGAUCUAUGGAAUCAUUCCAAUGGUAAGAUCGUGAAAGGCCUCGUGUCGUGUCAGGCCCACCUGAACAGCAAUCAUGUGGUGCACCUUGAUGGGGAGAAUGGUCAGGUGGAUGUGAAGAUCACAUGGUCAGACUAA
rnacentral:rRNA from 1 species